AUUGAACGCUGGCGGCAGGCCUAACACAUGCAAGUCGAGCGGUAGAGAGAAGCUUGCUUCUCUUGAGAGCGGCGGACGGGUGAGUAAUGCCUAGGAAUCUGCCUGGUAGUGGGGGAUAACGUUCGGAAACGGACGCUAAUACCGCAUACGUCCUACGGGAGAAAGCAGGGGACCUUCGGGCCUUGCGCUAUCAGAUGAGCCUAGGUCGGAUUAGCUAGUUGGUGAGGUAAUGGCUCACCAAGGCGACGAUCCGUAACUGGUCUGAGAGGAUGAUCAGUCACACUGGAACUGAGACACGGUCCAGACUCCUACGGGAGGCAGCAGUGGGGAAUAUUGGACAAUGGGCGAAAGCCUGAUCCAGCCAUGCCGCGUGUGUGAAGAAGGUCUUCGGAUUGUAAAGCACUUUAAGUUGGGAGGAAGGGCAGUUACCUAAUACGUGAUUGUUUUGACGUUACCGACAGAAUAAGCACCGGCUAACUCUGUGCCAGCAGCCGCGGUAAUACAGAGGGUGCAAGCGUUAAUCGGAAUUACUGGGCGUAAAGCGCGCGUAGGUGGUUAGUUAAGUUGGAUGUGAAAUCCCCGGGCUCAACCUGGGAACUGCAUUCAAAACUGACUGACUAGAGUAUGGUAGAGGGUGGUGGAAUUUCCUGUGUAGCGGUGAAAUGCGUAGAUAUAGGAAGGAACACCAGUGGCGAAGGCGACCACCUGGACUGAUACUGACACUGAGGUGCG
rnacentral:rRNA from 1 species